rnacentral:lncRNA from 1 species
CAGUUCGAUUGAUCGGUCGCAUCUUUGGGAUGGAUCGAUCCCGUGCCCAAGUAAGUCUUUCAAAUCGAUUUCCUGGUUUUUGUCGGUUAAAUCUGGUUUGAUUCCCACUUGAUUUGAACUAAGCAAACACGAACUGGACUCUUAAAACUAGAUUUCUAAUCAAUCAAACUCAUUUUUCUCUUCUGUUUGAAGAACAAAGGGGAGAAGAAGAUGGCGUGAGAAGAAGUUUCCAAAUCGAUGUUUCAAUUUUUUUUUUAAUUUAAAAAUUUAUUUUAUAAAUCACAAUUUUUCUUUUUUUUUAAAAAAUCGAUUU